rnacentral:rRNA from 1 species
AGAGUUUGAUCAUGGCUCAGGAUGAACGCUAGCUACAGGCUUAACACAUGCAAGUCGAGGGGCAGCAUUUUAGUUUGCUUGCAAACUAAAGAUGGCGACCGGCGCACGGGUGAGUAACACGUAUCCAACCUGCCGAUAACUCGGGGAUAGCCUUUCGAAAGAAAGAUUAAUAUCCGAUAGUAUAUUAAAACCGCAUGGUUUUACUAUUAAAGAAUUUCGGUUAUCGAUGGGGAUGCGUUCCAUUAGUUUGUUGGCGGGUAACGGCCCACCAAGACUACGAUGGAUAGGGGUUCUGAGAGGAGUCCCCCANAUUGGAACUGAGACACGGUCCAAACUCCUACGGGAGCA